AUGGAACAAGCAGCUGAAGUCGUAAUGGACCAGAAUGAAUUUGUUCCUGAAAAUAUAGAAAAAACUGAACCUAAAAAAAAGGGACCAAGGGGCCGGGGAAGAGGUCGAGGUGGCAGAGGAUAUACUAGAGGGAAAACACGAGGCAGAGCACUGAAUGGCUUUGGGCCUAUAAGACGUGGAAUGGGAAGAAUGCGCCCGUAUCCAGAUGCAAGAGGCGGAAGAGGAGCUCAUGGAGGACCACUUUUCCCACAUAUUCCACCCAUAAGAGGAAUGGCAAGAAUGCCUUUUCUGCCGCCGCCGCCUCCUCCUCUCCCUCCUCCUCCUCCACGAUAUGGAAUUCCUCCCCCUCCUCCUCCCCCACCUCCAGAAUUAAUGGGCUUCAGAGGCAGGCCGCCUCUUCCCCAAGCCAGAGGAAUGCUGCCAUGGCCGCGAGGCCGAUUUCCACCUCCAGGAGGCUUUCCCAAUGGACCCCGUGCACCAGCCCCUCCGCCACCUGGGCGGGGCCAGAAGUGGCCUGGGCCACCAGGUGGCAGAUUCUAUUAA
ensembl:lncRNA